rnacentral:rRNA from 1 species
UACAGAGGGGGGCAAGCGUUGUUCGGAAUUACUGGGCGUAAAGGGCGCGUAGGCGGCCUGCUAAGUCGAACGUGAAAUCCCCGAGCUCAACUCGGGAACUGCGUCCGAUACUGGCAGGCUUGAAUCCGGGAGAGGGAUGCGGAAUUCCAGGUGUAGCGGUGAAAUGCGUAGAUAUCUGGAGGAACACCGGUGGCGAAGGCAGGUCUCUGGGCCAUUACUGACACUGAGAAGCGAAAGCAUGGGGAGCGAACAGG